CAAAAUUGUUAGUAUAAAAGGUGUCUAAAGCGACACCGCUUUCCCUUAAGGAAAAGCCUCCAUUCGAGUAGUCUCAUAGGUCGGCUCGGUUUCAACCAUUCUUGCUAAGGACAACCUCGCUCCUAGCGAAAAAAGUAAGGGUCUGAAAGAGUUCACGAUCGAAUGAAUUCCCUCAAAUCGGAUGACACAAAGCGAACUAGAAUAGGCUGAUUGAUCCAGAGAGCUCAGGCUGACGGUUAGGUGGUUCGGUUGCUUUAAGGAAGGGGUUCUUCGAGGAAAGGUUCGGGUGGGGAAGGAGGUUGUGAUAAAAAGCUUUUUCUUCGUUGAGGGGAGACUCUGAACUCGAGUCAAGAAAUUCUUGAAGAAAUGGUUACAGACCAGGGGCGUAGCGUAUGUC
rnacentral:lncRNA from 1 species